AGAGUUUGAUCCUGGCUCAGAACGAACGCUGGCGGCAGGCCUAACACAUGCAAGUCGAGCGCUUCACUUCGGUGAGGAGCGGCGGACGGGUUAGUAACGCGUGGGAAUAUACCCAGUUCUAAGGGAUAGCGACUGGAAACGGUGAGUAAUACCUUAUACGCCCUUCGGGGGAAAGAUUUAUCGGAAUUGGAUUAGCCCGCGUUAGAUUAGAUAGCUGGUGAGGUAACGGCUCACCAAGUCUACGAUCUAUAGCUGGUUUGAGAGGAUGAUCAGCAACACUGGGACUGAGACACGGCCCAGACUCCUACGGGAGGCAGCAGUGGGGAAUCUUGGACAAUGGGCGCAAGCCUGAUCCAGCCAUGCCGCGUGAGUGAUGAAGGCCUUAGGGUCGUAAAACUCUUUCGCCAGGGAUGAUAAUGACAGUACCUGGUAAAGAAACCCCGGCUAACUCCGUGCCAGCAGCCGCGGUAAUACGGAGGGGGUUAGCGUUGUUCGGAAUUACUGGGCGUAAAGCGUACGUAGGCGGAUUAGAAAGUUAGGGGUGAAAUCCCAGGGCUCAACCCUGGAACUGCCUUUAAAACUCCUAGUCUAGAGGUCGAGAGAGGUGAGUGGAAUUCCAAGUGUAGAGGUGAAAUUCGUAGAUAUUUGGAGGAACACCAGUGGCGAAGGCGGCUCACUGGCUCGAUACUGACGCUGAGGUACGAAAGUGUGGGGAGCAAACAGGAUUAGAUACCCUGGUAGUCCACACCGUAAACGAUGAAUGCCAGACGUCAGCAAGCAUGCUUGUCGGUGUCACACCUAACGGAUUAAGCAUUCCGCCUGGGGAGUACGGUCGCAAG
rnacentral:rRNA from 1 species